rnacentral:tRNA from 1 species
AAGGGUAUAGCUCAGUGGCACAGCAUGUGCUUAGCAUGCACAAGGUCCUGGGUUCAAUCCCCAGUACCUCCA